rnacentral:misc_RNA from 1 species
AAAGUCGUAACAAGGUUUCCGUAGGUGAACCUGCGGAAGGAUCAUUCACUAUCGUGUUGUCGGAGCUCUCUUCCCAGGGAGUGAACACAACUACACAAAACCCUUCAACAAAACUAACUGAGCCGAGUAUAACCAAAUCCCGCAAAUAUACGUGUUGCGUCUCGUAUUAGUAGUGGGUAGGGGUUUAUCUAUCUUUUUAGCUGACCUCUGUCUGGCCCCGGCUGUCGUCUACUUGUAGCGACUCGGCCGGCUAUCCUUACAUCUUUUGUGUCUACACUUACCCCCGUUGGCCUCAAGAAAUUGGGCUGACUUACUGCAACGAAUAAUUAUCUGUUCGUAUACAACUCUUUGCAAUGGAUAUCUUGGUUCUC